AUGCUGAUUUGAAGAAGAAAAUAUGAAUACGAUUGAAGCCACCUGGAUACUGUUCCCAAACUCCCAAACUCUCCCUCUGCAUUUAGAGUGCAUUGCCAGCAGACCUUUCAUAUGAUCAAAGAAUUCAAGCUGUGACAGAGAAAUGAGCAGUUCACAGAAACAGCUAGAAAGAGUCCUGGAGUCACAGAAAGUUGCAGGCGGAGUUUACCGCGCUUAAUUCAGCAAAAAGAGAUUCGCUGUAGGUCCUAACUUCUGGAGGUGGAAGUCUCAUGCAAUGAGCAAUAUUUCGGUGCACAACUUGACUUCAGUUCCUGUGCAGAAAAGUGAAUUGGAAGCUGCCUGGAGAGGACCUCAUCCUCACCCCAGGAGAAGAGAGGGAUUUUAAGACAACCACUCAGAGAUUUCGGUAGGUGCUAAGUGGAGCUUGUGAAAAGCAGGGAUGGGCCUCUAACCCUUAUUUGGAAAAACUGAACAGUGAGAGACAGUGUUUGAGGCCGCUCACCUGGAGGUCGGAGGGAGAGACGGCUGCCUUGGGAGUGAUCUGCACACAUGCCAUGGUGGAAGCCACAGCACUGUGUUCUGAGAACCAAAUACUCCCCCACCCCGCUGUUACUGUGAGUGGCUAAGUAGCAGCCCCAGCCUAAAGGCUCUGCUCAGACUGCAGUGAGACACCCAGGCCUGCCCCAAGACAUAGCU
rnacentral:lncRNA from 13 species